CCUACGGGAGGCAGCAGUGGGGAAUAUUGGGCAAUGGGCGCAAGCCUGACCCAGCAACGCCGCGUGAAGGAAGAAGGCUUUCGGGUUGUAAACUUCUUUUAAGAGGGACGAGCAGAAGACGGUACCUCUUGAAUAAGCCACGGCUAACUACGUGCCAGCAGCCGCGGUAAUACGUAGGUGGCAAGCGUUGUCCGGAUUUACUGGGUGUAAAGGGCGUGUAGCCGGGUUGACAAGUCAGAUGUGAAAUUCCGGGGCGCAACCCCGGACCUGCAUUUGAAACUGUUGGUCUUGAGUAUCGGAGAGGCGGGCGGAAUUCCUGGUGUAGCGGUGAAAUGCGUAGAUAUCAGGAGGAACACCAGUGGCGAAGGCGGCCUGCUGGACGACAACUGACGGUGAGGCGCGAAAGCGUGGGGAGCAAACAGGAUUAGAUACCCCAGUAGUC
rnacentral:rRNA from 1 species